AAUGCAGUUUGCUGCCGCGUGUCGCCGAAUCACAGCGAAGUCCACAGGCAGCCAGACGGAUUGGACCUGAAUCAACAAAUGGAUACAGAAAAACUGGAUGUACACUGCAUAUGAGGAGAAAAUUAGGGAGGACGGAGAGUCUGCCUUCAUAUCCGUUUAUCUCUGCAUCAGAUGCUGCUGUGAGGAACCCACGGGGAGGGAAAGGAAAACAGCGGACAACUCAUUUCUCCCUAACAUCCUUGGAGCUGUGAGCCAGAAUAGAGUCGACUGUGGGACUCGCUGGGAUUGAAUAUAUGCUCAUGCCGGUGUGUGUGUGCGAGUGUGUGUGUGUGAGCUGAUAAUAGCAGCCCCAUUGGUAUUCAGCGGAGGGAGCUCCAGGAUCUCGCUGCGCCUUUCCCCAGGAUGGGAUCACAGAGCAGGGAUUGUGCUCGCCUGUGGAGAGCCCGCUGAAAUGGAUCUGAAGCCUUGCAGAGAUGGACACCAAAUGGGCAACAUGGAAGCCAACACACACCCUCCAGCGACUAGCUUUCCACACCUAACCGCCGCCACCAUCUCCAGCCAUCAGCUGGAACCAUCCCAGCGAGGACUGAACCUGCAGAGUUGAGGCCCGACUCAAGAGAGAUACCAGAGGCCGUCUACUGGAAGCAGAGACAAGCAGAGGGGGACAAGCCUCAUAGGAGUUGUCUUACAACAAUCCAAUCAACCUGUUGAGCAUACAAUUGAGCUUCUUGGACUUCAUCUAAAAUAAAAUAGGCUGCAGUGAUGCUUGAGCAAUGGUAUGGAGCUUUUGGACAUGUCCGGAUUUAUCGACCGGAUAUCCUAUCGAGAUUACGACACUUUUGUGCACACCUCAGAGCUGGGCCACUUUUCCAGAUUGGCUUGUGGGCAAAAGCGAGUAAUUGAAAAUCCCCUCUCCAGAGGAUCUCUCUUCUGACUUGUUGUGGGGGAAGAGUGUGUUUUUUCUUUUAAAGGAACAAUUAAAAAAAACACUCACUUUGUCCG